UACGUAGGGGCAAGCGUUGUCCGGAAUCAUUGGGCGUAAAGCGCGCGUAGGCGGCUAGAUCAGUCUGCUGUAAAAGUCAAAAGGCUCAACCUUUGAAAGCCGGUGGAUACUGUCUAGCUAGAGUCCGGAAGAGGCGAGUGGAAUUCCUGGUGUAGCGGUGGAAUGCGCAGAUAUCAGGAGGAACACCAACGGCGAAGGCAGCUCGUGGGACGGUACUGAGCUAAGGCGCGAAAAGCGUGGGGAGCGAACAGG
rnacentral:rRNA from 1 species